AGCAAGGUUCAGCGCAUGCGCAAAUCAGUCCCUCACUGUCAGUCACUUCUCGCUAGCUUGCGGGAGAGUAAAGAUGGCGGCCGCGCCUGGUCUCCCGGAUGAUCUUAUAUUACACACAGAGGUGAAUAAAGCCGUAGUUUGUCACGUCGUACGCUCUGUAGACUCACCAUUGUUGUUCUCGUCUCACAAUAACCACUGGGAAGACACUUUGUUAGUGCUGUAGCGGUUAAACGUUCAGCCCGGGACUUUUGUUUUGUCAAGAAGGUGGCUAGGCAGGUACUGUACGUUGUAACGCCUAAAUAGUGUGUUGCUCGCCUGGGACAGGAAGGGACGAGCUGAGGGGGGGCUGAUGAGUGGCAUGGCCCCGUCACUUUCCUCCUUCUUAAGUUAAGUAAAUGGGGUCUCUACGUAACGACGCCCGCAUGGUUAGUCGACGGACUUUACCACGGGACACGACGCUGACAAAACACUUAUUAUCAGGGUUGGCGUGACUUAUCUCCCUUUGCUCGUCAAGCGGAAGUGGGCUUUUCGGUCAUCGAACAUGAACUGUCACAGUUCGGGAAGCGCUUUCCCUCCCGCCGGAACGUCAGUGACAAGCAGCUGUCCCGUGACAUCGGCCACAACUGUCAGUAGCGCCGGACUCAUGGUGUCCAAGGAGCCGAGCACCGCCAUCAUGGCCCCCACUGUCAUCCAGACUGCUCUCCCCCACUCUCAAGGUGUCAUCGCCUCGACUGCGACCGUGACUCCGGCAUCGGGAGCCACGGUGACUGUCGUUCGGCCUCCCCCUAUGCACACGGCGCGAUCGGGUCCAACUUUAAACGGGAACAAUGGCGAGAAUCCGGCGGUGGUUGUCAAGACCGCACGGCAGCCAGGUGCUCAGCCGUACAAGAUGAAUGUAGAGCCCCCCGGCAGCAGCAUCACCACCACCAAAGCACUGGCUCCAUCGCAGCACUCUGCCACUCCUGAUGCCCCUAGAUCUGCCGGUCCAGGUGGGAUCCAAACUUUGACGCAACAGAUAUUGUCGCCCAGGCUCCCUGUGACAUCCACCGGUCAGCCCAGUAUACAAAACAUCCAACUCCCCCCUGGGAUGGUGCUUGUGCGCAGCGAGAGUGGACAGUUGUUGAUGAUUCCUCAGCAAGCCCUGGCCCAAAUGCAGGCACAGGCUCAAGGAGUAAUGGUGCCUCGGACUGCACCACCAACAAAUAUGUCUCCAGGCCAGGCUGCUGGAAAUAACAUCAUCAGCAGACAAACAGCUCCUACCACCAUUAUUCGACAGGGCUGUCCAACUCCAUCAACAAUGUCUGCCACCACCACGCUUCAUAGACCUCCUAUUCUUCAGAGUUCAGUGGGGACGGCAGUACCAGGAAUAACCCAAAGGAUUCAAACAGCUGGGACCACAGUUACAUCAGUUACAAUGAGUAAAGAGACAAUGGAGAAUGUAAACAAAUGUAGGAACUUCUUGUCUACACUGAUCAAGCUUACUUGCACUGGCAAGCGAUCAUCCGAGGCUGCUGCCAGUGUGAAACAGCUUGUUAAAGACCUGCUGGAGAAUAAACUGGAAGCUGAGGAAUUCACCAGCAGACUGUAUAAAGAGCUUAACUCCUCGCCACAGCCAUACUUAGUGCCUUUCCUUGAGAAAAAUCUUCCUGCCCUGAGGCAACUUACCCCAGACUCGACUGCCUUCAUCCAGCAGAGUCAGCUACCCCAGCCAGCAUCUGGUUCUGUCUUGUCCACCUCACCAAGCCCCACCUCAGUGGUGCUGAGUAGCCAUGCUCCUCGGCUCACAGCCCAAAUCAACAAACCCCAGCUUCAGCCAAAUGUUAGCAAGCCCGGACAGACACAGUCAGUUGUCCUCCAUCCUCAGCAACAGAGAGCAAUGCUGAGAUCUCAGGUCCCUUUAGCAGUGUCCCCCAUGGUGAGUCUCAGGAAUCAGGCCCCUGGUCGCAUCAUGCUGGGACAGCCACAUGUCCAGCUAAAAGAGCUGCAACAAUAUCCUGUGAAGUCGCAGGUGUCACAUGUUUCAAGGCAAAGCUCUGUUGCAGUUCUAACUCUUGCUCAAAGGAGUCGGCUGAAAGAAGCUGGUAGUAAUUUCAAAGAUGACGAUGACAUCAAUGAUGUAGCCUCCAUGGCUGGAGUGAACCUAACUGAGGAAAGCGCCAACAUCUUAGCAACCAACUCCGGACAUGUAGGAGUAGUGACACAUUCCUGUAAGGACGAGGCUUUUCUUUCCUGUGCUGUGUUGCAUAGGAGAAUGCUGGAGAUUGGCCGCAGGUUUGAAAUGACAGACUUCAGUGCAGAUGUGAUCAAUUUUGUCUCGCAUGCUACUCAGCACAGACUCCGUGAUCUGAUGGAAAGGGUUACCUUUGUCGCUCAGCAGAAAAACGGCAAUUUCAAGGAGGAGGAUAACCAUGAACAGACCAGUGAUGUUCGUGCCCAACUCAAGUUCUUUGAGCAGCUGGACCAGUUAGAGAAACAGCAAAAAGAAGAGCAGGAGAGAGAGAUUCUUCUGAAGGCAGCUAAGUCCCGAGCUCGUCAAGAAGACCCAGAGCAGCUCCGUCUAAAACAGAAAGCAAAAGAGAUGCAGCAACAGGAGCAGGCUCAGAUGAGACAGAGGGAGGCCAAUAUGACUGCUUUGGCAGCCAUUGGCCCGAGAAAAAAGAAGAUUUUGGACUCGCCUUCUUCCUCUGCUAUAGCUGAGGGAUCAUCUUCUUCUCUGUCAGGAGGUGCUGGUUCAUCAGGUUCCAGACCCACACGGCAACGCAUCACACGCGUCAAUCUCAGGGACUUACUCUUCUGUUUGGAGAAUGAGAGGUUUACCAGUAACUCCCAUUUCCUCUACAAGGGCUUUCUCAAAUAGGUUCGAUGACAAGAUGAGAGGAGGGGGAGUCUGUGGCGAGAGCAACCACUUCCUGUUUGGAGUUGUGGUUUCACAUUGUCAUAUUACGAUCUAUUGACUCACCUCUCCACUUCCCCCCCCUAAAGACUCAAUUACUUUCUGAGUAGCAAUGGACUUUGUGCAGCAGAGAAAACUGGAUUAUUUUAUUAUUAUUUUAACAUCCAAAAUUAGAGGUCAGCAUUGUAUUAGAAACAUCUACAAACCUGGCAAAGCUGACUGCUUAUGAAUCAUGCACAUACAUGGAUGUCCAAGCCUGAUUGUGUUGGUGGAGAUUGUGGUACAGUGCUGCUCUUUCAGACUUAAGUCCACAUAAGCUCCAACUUGAGCGCCGUAGGCAGAGCAGCAACAAGGAUGAUGAGGUUGCCUAGCGACGUCUCAGUCACUGCACCUGAGGGUGCCGGGUAAACACCCAGAGCUUGCCAGAGGGCAGUAACAUCACUGUCCUUACUUGCCAACAUUAAAGGACGCUCUUUUGAAAUAUCUUUUUUUUUUUUGGUUCCUCAGGGUGGGAUUAUACAUUUAUCGGCUUACUUGAUUAGUGAACAGUCUGGUGGGACGUGUAAAGUGAAAGGCUCUCCUUUUCAAGUUAGUUCGAUGCUAAUUUACAUUGAAUAUGCCAUAUACAUGCUACUGAUAUUAGCAUUGGCCAUUUUACAUGGCGCAUUCAACACCUCUAAAUUUGCUAAUAAAAACUACGACUAAGAUUCAUGGUGUGUAAUA